AUUGCAGGGAAACCCCACUGUUUUCAUCAAAGUUAUUUUUCUUCCUUCCUUUGUGAUCACUGUCAUUAUCUUUCCUUUCUCUUGCUUUCAACUUUUCUUUUAGUAGGCCAAACGACCUAGAGAAAAGAAAGAGACCAAAGCCCAAUAAUCAUAGCAUCACAAGUGUCCCCAAAGGUAUCCCAUAGAUCAUCAAAUAAUUUAAUUUCUCGCACCAGUACUUAGCCAGUAAUGGAGGUGCUGUCUUGUUUGUAUGUGUUUCUGCUUUGCCUGCCUGUUUUUGUGUUUUCCAGCGCUUGCUGAUGACUUUGCCUCAAUCAUCGCCAAGAGAAAGGGGGGAGAUGUAGGAUCUGAAGCGAGCAGGCAAGGAGAGCAAAGAAGCCAUAAAGCUAGGAAUCCUGCUCCCAGACUUUGCAGACCCAAGUUAAUUACCGCUUGUUUACUGAUUGAUGGAUUUCAACUGACCUGUGAACAAUCGGCAACUGAUAGGACAUCCCUGACCAGAGGACGAACCCUCUCAGCCAAGAGGAACCUCUGUCAAACUUAUUGAUCUAGGCCAUUGGCCAAGACCAGAUGGCUCACCCAACACGAUGGUCAUGGAAUGAGACCUUUGUUCUCCCCAGGAACACAAAGUACAGCACCCUUCACGCAUUCCACAGAACCCAGCUUUAACAGACUACAUAAGGCUACUUUACAUCUCCUGUAAGGACAAUGACUUUUAAGAUGAUGCACCAUAGUUUGAAAACUUGUUGCCUCUUUUAAUGUCAUUCCGUAUAUGUAUCAUGCUUAUAGCCACCAGGUCAUUAUGAUGCUUUUGAUCAUUUAACAGGUAUCAUAGUGUUCGUGAGUGUAUCAAUAACAGCAGGUAUGUCGUGUUUGGUAUGUGUGUGAUUGCUAUUGAAUUUCCUAAGGGUUGGUAUAACGUGAAAUUGAGUACAAUGUAUUACAUGCAUGUUACCAAAUUCCUUACCAACGUCUAACCUAACCUUGUGAAAGUUUGCAAAGGACAUAACUCAGAGACUAGAAUGUUAAUUAGUGUCAGAGGAGGAGAAUUGGUCUUUCGAGACGCUGCAUAAGGCCAACCAGACCGCCGACCAAUCAACAUCGCCGGAAAAUCCUUCCAAACAACAACGCAACGAGGGAAUCCCUGGCAACACAAACGCAGAGGGGGCGUGGUCAAGUGCCAGUUAUGAUGGGAGGAGGAGUGACAAAGGACAAACAGGAUCUUUCAGGAAAUUCAGCUGAUGCAACUUCUUGGUGAACAUUAACUUGAGGAAUUUUCCAAAUAUUGAACAUGGGAACAUGUUCAGGUAACAGGAUUGAAAAAUUGCUGUUGGACACAAAAAUGUAAAUGUUUAAUUCCAUAUAAUGGUUGACUCAUGGAAAAGGAUGUUUCAGGUAUGAGAUGUUAAAUGGAUUCGCACAUUAACUAAAGAGAAUCCGAUUUAGUACUUUAAUGAUUAUAUUCCUAGGUAAAGUUUAGUUAUAAUGGAAUGGGACAGGCAAAAAGCUUUUGCCAAAAAGUGCUCUAGAUACAGUGGAUAUAUUAAUGUUUCAAAUUUUGUACCUUAAACCUGCACAUACGUUGUUGUGAAAGACACUUUACAUUUGUAUAUGCAUUUUACCUUUCUUUUACAUACGUAUUUGUAAACAUAUUAACAGCGGGACACUAAUGGCACCUCAGCUGUGGAAUCACAAUCCACCAGCCUAGACUAGGCAAGGCAAGAGAUACUAGCAUAUCAAUCUAGCAUAACAAGACUUUAUUAUAAUAGGCAACAUAAAAAAAGGAAGCAGGCGAAAUGAGAAACUGUUUAAAUGGGAUGGAGAUGUGAUAAAAAGUAAAUGUCUUUAUGUAUUGCAAUAUGAUACUUUUGCCAUAUGAAGCACCUCUAGCUGACACAUACAGUAUGUCAGAAACUACAAAUGUAAUAUUAAACAUAGUGAAAUACUUUCAGGGAACACUACAUUUUGAGUAAGGUCAAAUGUUGCUGCUGCUUUCUGCGCAAGACAUCUCUGCAGGAGCAGCUGGAGGUGUGCAGAUAGCAAACAUAACUAUAAUACAGUGAGGUUUUUGAAGUAGGUAGCAGAUAACCGUGACACUGUGCUUUCUCUCACAGCACAGAAAUACAUUGCACUAUCAUGUGAAUUAAGGUUGGAGAUCUGCAGGAUCCCUUCACUUUUCGCAUCUCCGUAAAUAUGAAAGCGCUUCUCAUAGUCUGUCUCCUUAUUGAAGGUGGUCGUCUGAAGAUAUCCAGUAAGCUUCAAUGAUUUGUCUUCUCUUGUUUGUUGGUACCAGUAAAGGUAAUAAAAGUCCUUGUA